AGAGUUUGAUCAUGGCUCAGGAUGCACGCUGGCGGCGUGCCUAAUACAUGCUAAGUCGGACGCUUUGUGCUUAAUUGAUAUGACGAGCUUGCUCUGAUUUGAUUUUUUGAUUUCAAAGAGUGGCGCACGGGUGAGUAACACGUGGGUAACCUACCUCUUAGCAGGGGAUAACAUUUGGAAACAAGUGCUAAUACCUGUAUAAUACCAACAACCGCAUGGUUGUUGGUUGAAAGAUGGUUCUGCUAUCACUAAGAGAUGGACCCGCGGUGCAUUAGCUAGUUGGUAAGGUAAUGGCUUACCAAGGCAAUGAUGCAUAGCCGAGUUGAGAGACUGAUCGGCCACAAUGGGACUGAGACACGGCCCAUACUCCUACGGGAGGCAGCAGUAGGGAAUCUUCCACAAUGGGCGCAAGCCUGAUGGAGCAACGCCGCGUGUGUGAUGAAGGGUUUCGGCUCGUAAAACACUGUUAUAAGAGAAGAACGGCACUGAGAGUAACUGUUCAGUGUGUGACGGUAUCUUACCAGAAAGGAACGGCUAAAUACGUGCCAGCAGCCGCGGUAAUACGUAUGUUCCAAGCGUUAUCCGGAUUUAUUGGGCGUAAAGCGAGCGCAGACGGUUAUUUAAGUCUGAAGUGAAAGCCCUCAGCUCAACUGAGGAAUUGCUUUGGAAACUGGAUGACUUGAGUGCAGUAGAGGAAAGUGGAACUCCAUGUGUAGCGGUGAAAUGCGUAGAUAUAUGGAAGAACACCAGUGGCGAAGGCGGCUUUCUGGACUGUAACUGACGUUGAGGCUCGAAAGUGUGGGUAGCAAACAGGAUUAGAUACCCUGGUAGUCCACACCGUAAACGAUGAGUGCUAGACGUUCGAGGGUUUCCGC
rnacentral:rRNA from 1 species